rnacentral:rRNA from 1 species
UACGUAGGGUGCAAGCGUUGUCCGGAAUUAUUGGGCGUAAAGAGCUCGUAGACGGUCUGUCGCGUCGGCUGUGAAAACCCGGAGCUCAACUCCGGGCCUGCAGUCGAUACGGGCAGACUGGAGUUCGGCAGGGGAGACUGGAAUUCCUGGUGUAGCGGUGAAAUGCGCAGAUAUCAGGAGGAACACCGGUGGCGAAGGCGGGUCUCUGGGCCGAUACUGACGCUGAGGAGCGAAAGCGUGGGGAGCAAACAGG